CGCUGGCGGCAUGGCUAAAACAUGCAAGUCGAGGGAAAAGCAUCUUCGGAUGUGGACACCGGCGAAAGGGCGAGUAACGCGAUCGUACGUACCCUUCAGUAGAGGAUAGCGUCGGGAAACCGGCGGUAAUACUCUAUACGCUCUACGGAGGAAAGGAUUCCGCUGAGGGAGCAGCGAAUGUCCUAUCAGGUUGUUGGUGAGGUAACGGCUCACCAAGCCUUAGACGGGUAGCGGGUGUGAGAGCACGACCCGCCGCAUCGGGACUGAGACACUGCCCGGACUCCUACGGGAGGCUGCAGUAACGAAUCUUCCGCAAUGCGCGAAAGCGUGACGGGGCAAUGCCGCGUGCAGGAUUGAAGCCCCUCGGGUGUAAACUGCUGUCAAGGUCUAGGAACUCAAUGACCAGACCUAAAGGAAGGGCCGGCUAACUCUGUGCCAGCAGCCGCGGUAAUACAGAGGGCCCGAGCGUUAAUCGGAAUCACUGGGCUUAAAGCGUGCGUAGGCGGGCGUGUAAGCAUCUUGUGAAAGCCCCCGGCUCAACCGGGGAAUUGCUUGGUGAACUGCACGUCUUGAGGCAGGUAGAGGUGGUCGGAACGAUAGGUGGAGCGGUGAUAUGCUUAGAUAUCUAUCGGAACGCCAAAGGAGAAGUCAGGCCACUGGGCCUGUUCUGACGCUGAGGCACGAAAGCGUGGGUAGCGAACGGGAUUAGAUACCCCGGUAGUCCACGCCGUAAACGAUGCGCACUAGGUCGGGGAGGUUUGACGCCCUCCCGGCCGAAGCAAAAGUGUUAAGUGCGCCGCCUGGGGAGUACGGUCGCAAGGCUAAAACUCAAAGGAAUUGACGGGGGCUCACACAAGCGGUGGAGCAUUGUUGCUUAAUUCGAGGCAACGCGAAGAACCUUACCUGGGUUUGACAUGCACGGAUUAACUCCUGGAAACAGGAGCCCACGCCUUCGGGUGGAACGUUCACAGGUGCUGCAUGGCUGUCGUCAGCUCGUGCUGUGAAGUGUCGGGUUAAGUCCCUUAACGAGCGCAACCCCUAUCGUUAGUUGCUAACGCGUCAUGGCGAGUACUCUAGCGAGACUGCCGGUGUCAAACCGGAGGAAGGUGGGGAUGACGUCAAGUCCUCAUGGCCCUUAUGUCCAGGGAUGCAAACGUGCUACAAUGGCAUGGACAGAGCGAUGCAAUAUCGCGAGAUGGAGCAAAUCGCAGAAACCAUGCCUCAGUUCGGAUUGCAGGCUGAAAUUCGCCUGCUUGAAGCUGGAAUCGCUAGUAAUCGCAGAUCAGCUACGCUGCGGUGAAUACGUUCCUGAGCCUUGUACACACCGCCCGUCACGUCAUGGAAGCCGGGAGUGCCCGAAGUCACCUCGAUUCAGGGGUGCCUACGGCAAGCUCGGUGACUGGGACGAAGU
rnacentral:rRNA from 1 species